GACGAACGCUGGCGGCGUGCUUAACACAUGCAAGUCGAACGAAGUGGCGAACGGGUGAGUAAUACGUGGGUAACCUGCCCUCCUUUUUGGGAUAAGCGUUGAAAACGGUGGCUAAUAGCGAAUAAGGGGGGAUGGGUUCGCGUCCUAUCAGCUUGUGGGUGGGGUGAUGGCCUACCACGGGGGUGAAGGGUAGCCGGCCUGAGUGGGUGACAGGCGACAUGGGGAAUGAGGUACGGUCCCGAGUCAUACGGGAGGCAGCAGUGGGGGAUAUUGCACAAAGGGCGAAAGCGUGAGGCAGAGACGAGGCGUGGGGGAUGAAGGUGUUAGGGUUGUAAACCUCAGUCGAGAUCGAACGGGGAUGUGGAGAAGAAGCGCCGGCUAACUACGUGCCAGCAGCCGCGGUAAUUC
rnacentral:rRNA from 1 species